AGCAGCCGCGGUAAUUCCAGCUCCAAUAGCGUAUAUUAAAGUUGUUGCAGUUAAAAAGCUCGUAGUUGAAUUUCGGGAUUAGUGCGCUGGUCAUGCCUUUGGUAUGUACUGGUGUUACUGAUUUCUACCUUCUGAAGAACCGUUAUGUCAUUUAUUUGGUGUGGCGGGAAAUCAGGACUGUUACUUUGAAAAAAUUAGAGUGUUUAAAGCAGGCUCGCGCUUGAAUACAUUAGCAUGGAAUAAUGAAAUAGGACGUUUGACCCUAUUUUGUUGGUUUCUAGGAUCGACGUAAUGAUUAAUAGGGAUAGUUGGGGGCAUUAGUAUUCGAUUGUCAGAGGUGAAAUUCUUGGAUUUAUUGAAGACUAACUACUGCGAAAGCAUUUGCCAAGGAUGUUUUCAUUAAUCAAGAACGAAAGUUAGGGGAUCGAAGACGAUCAGAUACCGUCGUAGUCUUAACCAUAAACUACGCCGACUAGGGAUCGGAUGAUGUUAUUUUUAAUGACUCA
rnacentral:rRNA from 1 species